UACGAAGGGGGCUAGCGUUGCUCGGAAUCACUGGGCGUAAAGCGCACGUAGGCGGAUUGCUAAGUCAGGGGUGAAAUCCUGGAGCUCAACUCCAGAACUGCCUUUGAUACUGGCGAUCUUGAGUCCGGGAGAGGUGAGUGGAACUGCGAGUGUAGAGGUGAAAUUCGUAGAUAUUCGCAAGAACACCAGUGGCGAAGGCGGCUCACGGGCCCGGUACUGACGCUGAGGUGCGAAAGCGUGGGGAGCAAACAGG
rnacentral:rRNA from 1 species